AGUGAACGCUGGCGGUAGGCCUAACACAUGCAAGUCGAACGGCAGCACAGUAAGAGCUUGCUCUUACGGGUGGCGAGUGGCGGACGGGUGAGGAGUACAUCGGAAUCUACUUUUUCGUGGGGGAUAACGUAGGGAAACUUACGCUAAUACCGCAUACGACCUACGGGUGAAAGCAGGGGAUCUUCGGACCUUGCGCGAUUGAAUGAGCCGAUGUCGGAUUAGCUGGUUGGCGGGGUAAAGGCCCACCAAGGCGACGAUCCGUAGCUGGUCUGAGAGGAUGAUCAGCCACACUGGAACUGAGACACGGUCCAGACUCCUACGGGAGGCAGCAGUGGGGAAUAUUGGACAAUGGGCGCAAGCCUGAUCCAGCCAUACCGCGUGGGUGAAGAAGGCCUUCGGGUUGUAAAGCCCUUUUGUUGGGAAAGAAAAGCAGCAGGUUAAUACCCCGCUGUUCUGACGGUACCCAAAGAAUAAGCACCGGCUAACUUCGUG
rnacentral:rRNA from 1 species